rnacentral:snRNA from 1 species
AUACUCUGGCUUCUCUUCAAAUGUCAAAUAAAUCUUUCGCCUUUUACUAAAGAUUUCUGUGGAGAGUAGCAUUUUAAUGAGUCUAAAGUUGUUGAAUUUAAAUAUGUUGAAUUUGGA